AUCGAUAUCACGUUGAUGCAUAUUUAUACCUACUUUUGGUUAACUUCCUUGUUACGUGAGCUUAAAGUCUUUUUUAUUCAAGCUUUUUGUUUGGGAUAAUACAGCGAUGAGCAUGGGUUUAGUGAUAGUUGAACGGAAAAUCGAACUUUUAACUGUGUUGUGUAUUUGUUUCUCUAGUAUAACAGUUACAGGAUGUUUAGGUUACAGAGUAUACUGUGAGAUAGGAGGUGAAGUCUGUCUUGAUUUUGUAAAGAACAAUUCUUUUUAUACCUUCGCAAUCAAAAAAGACAGUUUGCCUGUUUGUGUUUCAUUUGAUGGAUCAUCUACAUACGUUUUUUCACCUUUUAUUGACAAGGUUAACUGUAGUAUCUCUCCAAUAAGUAUGUCUUUGUGUUUGGGCAAUUUUACGUCAGAUGAUGCUGGAACAUUUUCACUACAUAACGGUGUCACAAAUUCAAGUGUUCUUUUUAAUAGCAUAUUACUGGUAAAAGCAACACCAGUGACAUUUGUGAAUAUGACCCCGACACCAAUCACUAUGACUGCGGGACAACAGAUGAUUAUAACCUGUGAAACAUCAUACUGUAAUCCACCAGCCGAAAUCACGUGGUACAUGUCAACAGUAAACAUUACAAACCAAAAAAAUGGACAAACAAAUUUAUACGAUGGUCUGGUGAGAACAAUGUCAACACUGUCAAUCAAUGCAGUCAAAUCAGACAAUGGAAAACAUGUGUAUUGUACAGCCAGCAACAAUCCAGGAGAGAGAGUAAAUUCCACGGUUAAUGUACUUACAGUUUUGUACAGACCAGAAGUGACAUCAAUUGUGUCUAGUCCAUACAUCGUUGAGGAAGGACAGACAGUUUCACUAUCGUGUGCAGUAAUUCAUGCCAACCCAAACACUAAUAUCACGUGGAGAUGGUUCAGAACAGACCGUCCUUUUUAUACUCUUUUUUAUGGACCAAACUAUACAGCACCUAACAUAGAGCGAAACAUUUCCGGAUCAUACAGCUGUACAGCCAGAAAUUCUGUAGGGACAUCUGAAGCGGAUGUAAUUAAUGUGGAUGUGCAAUAUAAACCGGAUGUAAUAACACGCAUGCCAAGUCCAUACACAGUUAUAGAGGGACAAAAAGCUACAUUAGAAUGUUUAGUGACAGCUGCCAACCCAAACACUAGUAUUAUAUGGAGAUGGUUCAAAACGGAUAGUCCUAGUAAGGUCCUUUAUAAUGGAUCAAUCUAUCAUGUUCAUGACAUACAGAGGAAUAUGUCUGGAUUAUACAACUGUACAGCCAGCAACUCUGUAGGGACAGCUGAAGCAGUCACAAUAGCCGUGGAUGUAUUGUAUAAACCAGAAGUGAUUUCUAGUACACCAAAUCAAUACAAAAUUAUUGAGGGGAGAAACGGUACAUUAGAGUGCUUAAUGAUUGCUGCAAACCCGAACACCAAUAUUAUUUGGAAAUGGAUCAAUACAAACAAUCCUAGUAAUGUCCUUCAUAAUGGAUCAGCCUAUACAAUCUCGAACAUACACAGGAACAGGACAGGAUUGUAUAAUUGUACCUCUACCAACUUAGCAGGAACAUCUAUAGCAGUCACAAUAUCCGUCGAUGUUAUGUACAAGCCACAUAUAAUCGAUUCCCCAAGCAUAACAGUAAAUGAGAAUGAAAGGGUCGUACUAACUAAAGAAAUAGUCAGCAAUCCAUUAUCAAAUGUAUCCUGGUAUGAUGGAUCGGAGUUGUUACUAACCCAGUAUGCAGUGAGGACCGCUACAUUUAUCAUACAGAAAGCCACAUGUACAGACACUAAGAAUUUUACCCUUAUUGCUAGUAACACAGUGGAGGGAAACGUGUCGGCGUUGAUGGAAGUAAAAGUUAAUUGCAAACCCCAGUCAUAUAAAACAAAUUUUACGCUUGGAGUGACUGAUACUACUGGAAUUGAUUUUUCAACCUUUGUUAUUGCAUAUCCUGAGCCUUCGAUUAAAUUGGAAUAUGAAAAUGGAUCUGUAUCCGAUCAGAUGAUGAAAAGUAUAAGCAGAAAUGCAGUGAAUAAUUUUACCAUUCAUAUCAGUCAGGCAGUUCUUAAUCAGAGUAAUUUUGGAGUUUAUCGUCUUAAAGUAUGGAAUUCGUUUGGAGAAGUAACCAUGAUUGUGAAUGUAAUACCCCAAAGAAAACCAAACAGUCCAGGCAAUGUUGAAAUUUUUUGUGAAAAAACGAGUGCAAAUGUGCAAUGGAAGUCAUCUUUUAAUGGUGGAGACCCCCAGUUAUUUACUAUCUUUGCUUCAAACGGUCAGCAAUUUGAAUCUGAACUCAUAUCAGAUAGGGGAGAAAAUGAAAUUCAUUCAGCAUUUAUACAAAAUCUUCAACCUUCUACGACUUAUGUGUUCUAUGUAUCUGCACAGAACAGUCAUGGACUUAUCUCUUCAGAAAGAAUCAACUGCACGACAUUAAAAGAGUCUUCUAAUAAUUUGCCAGUUAUUACCGGAAGCGUGGCUGCUGGAGGGAUUACUCUAGCAAUUGUGGUCAUUGCUGUUGUCGUGGUUUUUCGAAGAUUCAAAAAGUCAGGCAGCCAAGCAAGGUAUGGAAAGGAAGAGCCAGAAAUAAUAUUUUCAUUCACUAAAAAUCUGUGUAUGGGCUAUUUCUUUCAAUGUCGUAUUCCAGACAUAGAAAUGGACAACAGAACGGAAUGAACAUAGUGAAAGGUGAGUAUUGAUUGAUAGUUAUUUAGUCCUAGUCCGUAUGUUAUGCAUCUAUCAUUAUUAAAAUCAAGAAAUGUAUCAAAAAUACUAUUUUUAAGAACUUUCUCAUUAAUCGCAAACGCUUAAUUUGGCUUUAUCAUUAUUCGUUAAGCACCAAAAUUAGCUUGCGGGUAUCAUUAUUUAAUCAUUGAAGUAAAAAUGAAUAUUGUAAUGGAAAAGAAGUCGUUCAAGAAUUAUCACUUCUUCAAAACCGCCAAUUUCAAAAUAAUUCCAAACUUUAUGACAACAAAUGUGUAACGUCAAUCAAUGUAUCUAGUGAUACCAUUUGCAUUUUUAUCAUAACGCAAUAUGCAGUUUUGUAUUUUUAUUCCUUUAAAUCGUUUUUGUGGUUCUUCUGAUCGAAGGUAAUUGUUAAGAAAAUUCACGAUUUGUUUUAUAUUUUAAAUAUCUUAACUAAUACACCAAUCAAAAAUAAACAAACGCAUAAGAUUUGCUUUGCUUAUGUAAAAUCAUUGUAACGAGACGAGAGAUUUAAAACAUAUAAGCAAACGUUACUAUUAAUUAACAAAAUUGUAAGAGACUAAAUAGUUUAUAUUGUAAAAGUAUAAAAUGUUCUUUUGAAAUAACUAGAUUGGUACAAGAAUUCGUCGUGGUUUUGUUUAUAUUUCAGAAACGUUUAUGAUAUAUUAUCACAAAACGAGGGUGCAAAUCAGUACGAAGCUUAUCUAAUGAAAGAAAGUCAAGAAACUAAGAGUCAAAUGUAUGAAAGCUUACAAAAGACAGAGGUUUCUGAUAAACGAAACAUUUGUGACAAACAGA